rnacentral:siRNA from 1 species
UCCAAACGCUUCUCCGGUGGAUCC